AGUGGCGCGAAGGCAGGUCCCGGCGGCAGCAGCGGCCGGGCUCGGGGACCAUGUGGGUGAAUGAAGGGCGGCGGCUCCCGCCUCAACGUAAAUAUCCACAAGCCCCGCUCCGCCCUCAUUAGAAUAGAAAACAAAGUGCUUCCGAGCGCCGCGCCGCCCAAUCGCCGGCCGCGGCCCCCGCCCCCGCCCGCCGCCGCCUGCUGCGAUUCAUCCACGCAGUAGGCAUGCACCGAGCCCGCCGCCCGCCCGGCCUGCCCCGCGAUGCACGGGCACCGCCGCUGCCGCCGCAAACUUUGUCUCCGUGGUUCCGCUGGGGCCGGGCCGCGGCGGGGGAGCGGGGUGCCCGCCCCACCGCACCGCACCGCGCAGAGCUCCGCCGGGGGAUGGCGGUGCCGCGCGCAUCCUGCCUGCGCAGGCGGUGGGGAAGGGGAGGGAAGGAGGGAGGGAGGAAGGCACGGGGUGGGAGAUGCACAUGGUGGCCCCGCGGUCACGGGAGAGCUGGGGGAGGCCCGGCCGUGGGGGGCGGGCAGGGCAGGGCUGGGCCCGCCCGCCGCCGCCCCGCGAAGUUGCGCGCGGUUGGGAGCGCCGCGCCCGUCCCGCCCCGGCCGUGUCCCCGGCCCCACGCGGAGCUUCGGGAUGAAGGGGGUGGUGCCGCAUGUGGCUGCACUUGUCCGGAGGAAACUGCUGCGCUUGGAUCUGGCUGGAAGGCUGGAUAGGAAACCCGAGUCGUGAGGGUGCGAGUGGGAGAAGUGUGGGAAGGCAAGCAGCACCAGCAGCAUGCCCGGCCGGCGGUCUCGGCCGGGGGUCCUACCCGCGACAGACCGACCCAGAGUCUAGAGGGAGGUAUCGUGAAAAACACUGAACAGCUGGAGAACAGAAGACGCAGGAUUUGCUUCAGACCAAACUGGAUCUAAAAAUAUUGUGAGGGGAGAGGGAGAGGAAAAGCACAGGUGCCUCUUCAAUCACAUGAUAGUUCAGCUUUCUUUUAAAUAAAGUUUUCAUCUUCUUGGAUGCAGAGUAAAACUUAAAGCCGUGGAUACUGUAAAAAAACGGAAAGGAAAAGUCAUCUCUACCUGUGGAUGGUUACUUCUGACAGAGAGCUGGAAUUACCAAAGACAUGUGAGCUCUUGGAGUUAACAUAAAAAUUGGUACUUGGGAAGAGAAGACCCUAAUAAUAUACAUAAAAGAAAAUCUUCAGCAUGAAUUCAGCCCAUCAUAAAGGCCAGGGACUGCAGAGGGGAGGAAGCUGCAAAAAAAAAAAAAAAAAUCAAACCAGGUAAGCAGCUUUGGUAGGGCAAUUCACUGCCUGCUAUGAACUUGUCAGCACAAGAAUUCAAUUUACCUGAGUUGGAUAUCUUGUUCCCACCUACAGCUUAGGUAAGUUACCUCACCAACAGUGGCCAUCGGAGAGUUAUUUAUCCAGGCUAGUUUAUGGGCUAUGUCUGUAGUGCUGAGUGAAACAUGGCUAAGGACUAGCCUUAACUAAUAUCACUGUUCACUCUCCAGGAAACUUAGGUACUUUUUUGAGAAGGUCUGCUUCUACAAACACAUGAAACCUAGGUGUAAGGUAUCUGAUACAGACCAACAGAAUUCAGCUUCCGAUUUUCACUGAUUCUCGUGCUCACUUAACAAUUUUAAUGUCUAUAGUAGCAUCCAAAUCUUAUAUGGUGGCUUCAGCUAGGAGAAAAUAAGUUGUAAAUCUGAGGCACUUCCAGACGGUAAAGAAUUAAGUAUUUUAACUGUCUAUCCAGUGUUUGAACUCAUUCCCUGAUUUUUUUUUUAAAAUUUCACAAAAGGGUAUCCAUGGUCAGUGGAGCUAACAGACAUCUCCAGAAGAUAAGAUGAAUUGUGCUAGAAAAGACCUUUCCUCUUGAUGAAAUGCACACAAAAAGGUUACACUAUACGAUCUGAUUUUAAACAGUUUAAAUCAGGUAUGAUUAAUCCCAUCCUGGAAGCUACUGAACUGUUCUCACAAUACCUGAGUUCCUUAAGGAGUCAAUGAUGAAGACUAGGUUUUUUUGAAGAUACCAUGAGAAAAUCCAAUUAGCUUAACUUUCCUUGUUAAACUGAAUGAAAGAAAGAAAGUCUAACUAUUGAAUAUCCAUGAAACUUAACCACUUGCUUUAAAAGAUAGCUUCAACAAACUCAAGGCAUUUAGGUGUCUAAUAAAUAUGAGCAGAUUUAUUUUUUCAGAUUUCUUUAGUUCUUGUGCUUGUUGAAAAACCUUAACAACAUCAGAGUUGUUAAAUUUUAGUAUUUAGUAUUAAACCUAAUUUUAUAUUGUAAUUUUUAUAAUCUGUUACCACAAUAGCAGAAGAUUACAAAAAAAAUUACAAAAUAUAUACUGGAAAAUGCAAAACAUGUCUGAUUCUAACAUGUCUGAUUUUUCACCUAUACUGUUAAUAUAAUUUGCAUUAUUAAGAACUUGUCUAAAUUGAGGAACCUAGGAACAUUUUCCAGCUAGUGGAUCCAGGUGUAUGAUUCAGCUGCUUUCUAGUUGGAUGACAGCAAUUAUAGCUCUUUGGAUGAGUACAGAAGAGACUGUGGUGUAUCCAGUAAGACCCCUUGCUUGGCACACCAUUGUAAUAAUUUAUGCUUUGAAGAUUUAAACAGAAGUUUAGGAAUGGCAAUUUUUGUGGGGGAUCUGUGUGUGUAUAUGCGCAUACGCAUUUGCAUACAUAUAUAAAAAUACUUCUUUAAGAAUGUCCAUAAAACAUUAUAUGAGUUUUGCAAACAGUGUGUUAACUAGAAGAUCAUUUAAGGUAGAAGAAACAUGCAAAUAAAAAAUACACCAGGAAUCAAACAAGCUACCUGAAAGAACAAUGAGGUCUAUUUCAUGGAUUUGCUCUAAACAGCAGAUACGUCAGACCAAGAAUAACAGCAGAAGACAAAGGAAAAAAAAAAAAAAGAGAGGAUGCAUUUGUACCAGACGGAAGUAAAAUUGCUCAAGGCUGCAGCACUGUGGAGGCUUGGAAGAAAUGGUAGUGUUUUCCUGUCCCUGAGAAAGCUUGGAACUGAUUCCAAAAGGCAGUACUCAGGGAUGGGCUGUAGCUGAAUUGUUUCCUCGGUCUCUAUGGAUAACAUACACACUAGGAAAUCCUUAUGAUCAACCACGAGCAGACCUUAAGGAAUUAUUUAAAGGCAUACUCUAAAUACUCCUCUUACUUUUUUUGUGCGUUUUCUAACUUUCUAAUUCUUUUUUCCUACUAGCAGUUUAUCCUACUUUGCUAGGACAAUCUUGUGUCCUCCUCUAGGCUUUUCUGCAAACUUUAUCAGAAUAACAAACAGGUCAUAGGCCCAUUAAACCAAUGGCACUCCCAUUAAAACAAUGAUCUUUUAUUCAGUUAUCAUCUGACUGCCAAUCAUCCAGGGCAAACCCUGAGGCUACAGAUAUAUGAGUAAAUGAAAGGAUGAAAGGGAUAAGGGCUGGUCUACUGGUCCUGAUGGCAGCAGCAAACACACCCACAAAGAUAAAUAUUUUCUCAUUCCCACACGAGAUGGCCUCUUGCUUACUGCCCAGCAGAGAGAAAUCUCUGUCCAGUGGUAUUUCCUAGACAGCAUCUAAACAUUGUCUGACAGAGCCUCUUGAAGGACCAAAAGGAGAGAUGCUUGUUUGCUAGCAAAGCACAUUGUACAGGAGACCAUUUGCUCGUGGUGCUUGAGUAUAUAUGCCCUCAUCCUGUUUAGUAGUACUAUAGGCAUAACAGCAGGGUCCAGGCAUGACUGAGGGGAUAGCAUUUUUAAAAUUCUGAUUCCUUAAUUAUCCCAGGUUAUUAAAGAAUUUGUAUCUGUCAUAUAAUAGAAGUUGUCCAUACUAGGAGUUGGGAAGUAAAGCUAAAAAGAAAGAAAAAAUAUCAAUACCAUUCACUUCCCCCCUGUAUUUUUUAGGCUUCCUUCCAAGCCUGUUUUUUAACUCCAUCUCCUUCCUCCAAAAGCUUCCUAGAAAAAAAUAGAGGGAAAUAGCAACUUUUAAUACAGAGUCACUAUUUCCAAUAUAAAACCAAAACCAACCUCCAAAAAAAGAACAGAAGUCCAGUUAUACAGAAAGUCCUACUUAAAACAUAUUAAAAAAGACUCCUCUGUUAAGUAGGGGUAUUAAGGAAAAACCCUACAUAAUAAAUGCAUUGCAUUAUAGAAAACUAUGUUCUUAACACAUUUAGAAUAAUUAAUCACUUUGGUUAAUAGCAUACACAUAUCACUAGUCUUAGCUAUUGUAUGUCACGGAGAACCUAGAAUAUUUGUAAGUACUCACAAGUGGCUGCAUUCAUUAAUUUCUGUACUUUAGGAAAAAGUACUGAAACGCACUGAAGAACAAACAUGCUGGAAAAGUGGAUCUACGUUUUUCACACAAUUUUUUCAGUAGUGCAGUUUUCUAGUUUUGUCUGGAAACCAAGAAUCAAGAGGUUUAGCUCAUCAUGGAUUUUUAAAGAAUCUGGUUCAGAGGAGCUGCCACUGUCAGUGCUAUUUGAAGGCUGAGAUUCUAAUUCACAAAACAUUAUUUUAUCUUUCUCAACAUUUAUAUAAGAAUUUAAUAGAUUUUUCAAUCUAUAAUAUCUGGCAUCAUUCUUUUACUCUUUGAAGAGGAAUAGCUAACAAAUAAACAAAAUUCAGUAUUAGUUGGCAAAAUUUUGUCUGUAAUUUACUGACAAACAUUUUCUCUAGUGAGUUCAAGCAUCCUUCACAGAUAAAUAGACAUAAAUAUGAUAAUAUGUCAAUUCCUCAGCCAAAACUAUUUACUAGUGCCACUGUGCAAAUUUCAAGGAGUCUGAAGUGGAGUAAAACUGAGCCAUGUAGUUUUUGGUUUCUGGACAACCUUUUGUUUAAGACAGAAAGAAAUUUUAGGGUAAGAGAAGUAAGUGGGUGCAAAGUCAGGCAAAAUGAAAUUACUUUUCCAAACAGAUAUAGCAGCAGUUACAGCACAUACAUUGUCAGUUUUAUAAUUUUACUUUAUGAAAAUAGGAAAGUUAGUAAGUUAAAUAAUAGUUUUUUUAAAGUUUCUCUGAACAAUAUUUUGAUAAAGAUGUGACUUGAAGAUGACAGUGCUGCUGAAAAUUUUAGAGCUGCAAUGGUGGGAAAUUAAAGGUUCAGCCUGGAGAAGAGACAUAUAUUUAUCUAUGAAAAUAUUAAUUAUGUAAUAAUAAUUGUUUCAAAUGGACAUCUGAUGCAUCACAUCUGCUAUAACUAGCUCUAUAAUAGAUUCUAGUCAAUAAUCACCCAAUAUUGCAGAAUUUGCCACCAGGGAAGAUAUUAACAGAAUGGAUGUAUUGUAAAACAAAGACUGAAACAUCUCAUUGUGAUUAGGGGAUAGCUGAACACAAUUACCAAGUCUUCCAACAAUUUGAAGGACCAGAGAAAAUCCUCCAAAAGAUGAAGGCUUUUCUGUGCCUGGAAGCCUGGGCUAGAGAUUUUGUUGAAAUAAUUUUGAUAUAAAAUGGAUAAAACAGAAGAGCAGACCAAGACAAUGCAUUUAGAAUGUCAGAUAUAGAAAUAGUUUUGAGGAGACAGUAGAAAAGGGGAAUAAUGUGAGAAUAUAACAGAGAAUAGUUCAAUUGGAGGGGACCUAUAAAGAUCAUUUAGUCCAAUUCCCCCUAUGUGUUCCUCUCAUCCAUCAGUGAUGAAUGUUUAAUUUGUAAAGUUAGAUUUACUUUGUUGAAGAUUUCUCUCUUCCCUCCAUACUGCUGUAAAAACAUGGAAGUAGGAAUUUUAACAAUCUGUUUAAAAUUAGUUGCAUUAGAAAGUCAGAUUACAUUAACCACUGUUUUUUUUUCUGUUAUUAAGGCAAUGAAUGCAUUACUAGGGGUUUUGAGGUUUUUAGGUUUUGGUGAUGUAGUUGCCAUAAUACAACAUCACUUUUGCACAAAAGAAAAUCUUCUGUUACAUUUAAAAUUUUCAGUCUUUUUAAAAAUAAUUUUUAAUUUUUCAGGCUUCUACAAGGAAUUGAAUUUCCCUGAUAUGUACAAGUUGAUGCUGACUGUUCACAUCAGCUCUUAUAAAUAUAUAUAACUAGUUUUCACUUUACCAGUCAGAUAGUUUUGCUCAUAUUAUUUAGCUUUGCCAACAACAUAUAGUUAUGAGGUAAAAUUCUGUAAACUGAUAUAUCUGUCAGUGAUGCAGAUGAGAUAGACCUUAAAAUUACAGACUGUGAGUGCUGUACUGAGUUUUUAUGUAUGUUUUUGAGGUAGUGAUGACAUCUUCCGUGCAGAAGAGCGCCAGGUAAAUGCAGCUUUGAAACAUACUCUUGGUAUUCUAUGUCCUUCCCAAACUCAAUAUUUAGUACAACAUAAUCUCAAAUUCUUGUUCAUGUAGCACAGUUCCAGCCACAUACAUGGAUCUCCCUGUUCAGCAUUUUUUGUAUAAAUUUUGGGUUUUAUGUAUAUAUUUGUUCUUUUGGAGUGAUGAAAAUGUCAAUUUGAGACACCCACAGAAACAACUUUAGAGUAAAUAUUUCAAAACAACUAUUGAAAAUCAGGGAAAGAAAAACCUAUAGAAAAGCCAAGUAGAAAAAGAAAGGCUAAUAUUCAGUAAUCCAAGGUACUGUAGAUAAAACUGAUUGUGGUAUAUUUUCAUGGUUAUUUAGGCUCAGAGAAAUCAAAUUAUGUUGAAACAGUUACAUGUCAAAACAUAUAAUCCAAUAAAUCUAGUAUUUUAGGAAUGCAGGCAGGAUCAACUCUGCUGAUUAUAUUUAAAUAGAAGGCAAAGCUCUAAAAGACAGCUGGGUGGCAAAGGGUAGGAUGUGUCCCAAUCCUUUCUCUCAAAGUCAGUGGAAAGAAGCUGGUGAUUAUUUAGUACAAUUUAACACAAAUUACUGAAGAAACCUUAAGCUGGUCAGAUGAAUUGUAUCCCAAGAGUUCUCUCCAAGAAGAGCCUAUGAUGACUGGUUCAAGCGCAAUUUUUUUAUAUAACUGAUGUCUACAAUCUGCUAAGAGGAAUUUUACCCUAAAAAUCACUGUGGAAUGAAGGUUCAUUGCUUUUGUAUACCUGAAAGUUUUAAGUGUAAAAAAACUGACACCUUUAGGAAGGUUUCAAAUGAAACAUGAAUUUGUUAAUGCGGACAUUAAUCUCACAUGUAAUGUAACCUAUUCAUAGAAAUAAUAGUUUGUCUUCCAGUUUUAAUUUUAAAAAGCAGUGUGAGCUGGUACUAUUUCCAGUUGUUUUCAAAAUAAUGCAUUAGAAUAUUCAUGUUCUCUAUGCAGCUGGGGUGAAUUGGGAGUAUUAACUCCAUGUGAUUUAUACAGUUACCAAUGCAAUUUUAAAUUUAACUGAAAUAAUUUGUCCAAAUAUGUCCUUUUUGAAAAUUUUGUUUAUAAUUGCUAUUUUGUCCACAUAAUAAAUAAGGACUGUUUUGUUAAUUUUCAUAAACACUAUUUUCACGCCUUAAAAGUCAAUAUAGUCUUUAAAAUUAUUUCUACCAUUUAAAAUUAUUUAUAUUCUUUUUAUAUUCUGAAGGGAUCUAACAUUAUGUUUGUAUUAAAGCUAAUUUAUUCCAUUUUCUGUGUGUAUUAUUUAUAUAUUAUUAUUUAUAUUGUCUUUUAGUAAAGCAGUAUGAUUUACUAAGGUAUUUGUUUAACUAUGAUCUUAAGCUGGAAACUUAAGGCCUUUGGCACAUUCUGAAAUAUGAAGCAUAACCCUUUGAUUAUGAUGAAGCUGUUCAAAGUUGAAUCUAUGAUUGGAUGUUGUAAUUAUUAAGUAACCACCGAAGCAUUGCUAAAAUAAAACCCCUCUGUUUAUGGUUUUUCCUCAAAAACACUCCCUCACAGCAAAAAUGUAGAAUCCAGAAUUAUAAAUUGAAAUAAUUGCCAUUUGGUGUAAUUGGGGAAGUGCUCUGUCCAAGUGUCAUUAAAAGCACCAGUCUAAGACUAAUUUCAGAAGUGCCCAACUCCAUUAUAAUUCCAUUACAAAAAUUAAGUGUAGACUUUAUCAUUCAUGUUUCCUUAACAUUUUGAAAAGCUGAAAAAAAACCCCAAUCCAUAUCAACCAUUAAAUAUUUUUUAAAUUUGACUUUGGAUAAUGGUGUAAAUCUCAAAUUAAAUUAGAUUUCAAAACAUACAUCUGCUUCUGUAUUAAAUGGCAUACCUCCUGCAUUUACUGCUGAGCCCUCGUCUCCUUAUCAUUCGCACUAUAUAAACAUUAAGUCAUUUAUGGGGUUUUUUUCUGGACAAAAAAACCCCCCAAACAAACAAACAAGUCCAGUUUCUCUGCAACAGCUCUGGGGACAGUUCACUCUACUGGCAGCUCUCAUAUUUUUUUAGGUGCGACACUAUAUAGCUCUUAGCAGAAACCUUUGUAGUCUACCUGUGCAUGCAUGUAAAUGCAUAUCCACACUAGACAUUUGAUAAAACAAAUCUGUACAAUGAACAAACAGUACUUGUUAUUCUAUGUAUUAUCACUCUUUAUUAUCACAACACUAAAAAAACUUGAGAACAUUGAGCUUUUUUUUAAUGUUGGAAAACAUAAAAUUUGGCCUUUAUCUUGUAAAAGAUUUGAUAACACUUUCCUACACUCCCUUUCUCAUGUUUAGCUUUGUGGUGCCAAACAACAGAUCAAGAGGCAACAGGCAGAGACUGAUGCACAGAAGUUCCAGCUGAAUAUGAGGAAAACUUCUCUUUUAUUCAGUAAACUGAGCACUAGAACAGGCUGCUCAGAGAUGUUGUGGAGUCUUCUUCCCCAGAGACACUCAGAAGAUGUCUGAAUGCAAUCCUGAGUAAAAUUCUCUAGGGAACUCUGCUUGAGCAGGGUGGUUGAACUCGAUGACCUCCAGUGGUCCCUUCCAACCUCAACCAUUCUGUGAGUAUGUGAAGACCUUCACGCAUUUUUUCGUGCCUCAGUACAGGCUGUAGAACAAUAUUCAGGUCAUAAAGGUGAAGAAAAACGUCAUUCAGACAUACCUCUUUUUUUCUAUUACGACUUUGCCUUCAGAGAGGAUUGAGAAUGCUCAUGGGAAAGGAAUUCCCUGAGGCCAUUCUUCACCUCUUAGAAGGGUGUUUGUACUAGUUCCUUGCUUAGUUGUCUUACACUUUGAAAAAGGUGCUUGUGCAGAUAGGAUUUAUUUCCUAAGGAAAACCUGACAUUCAUGCUUCCCUAUGGAUGAAGUUAACCACCAGAACCUCAGCAUUCCUGACAGAAGCCGUCUAAGGGCUCAGAGCACAGAUAUGAUGUAGAAUGCAAUGGUAAAUAAUUAUUUAGUAUGAGAUCCAGUGUAAGAUGAGUUAAUUUUUAAUUCCAGUCAUCCCAAGUGACACAGAGACAUUGAUCCUAAAAAUAAAAUUCAGCAGGUAUUUUAUUGAAGAAGCAAAUACUGUGAAUAUAUUAGGUCACUUAUGUAAAUGAGAUGUUUGAAGAAUGAGAAU